UUCGAGCGUCAUUUCAACCCUCAAGCUUUGCUUGGUCUUGGGCUCUGCCGGCAACGGCUUGCCUUAAAAACAGUGGCGGUGCCAUUGAGCUCUACGCGUAGUAAUUAAACCCUCGCUUCUGAGUCUUGAUGAACAUCUGCCAACAACCCCCAAUUUUUAUGGUUGACCUCGGAUCAGGUAGGGAUACCCGCUGAACUUAA
rnacentral:misc_RNA from 1 species